GAUGAAUGUGGGGGAUUAGCUCAGUUGGGAGAGCGCCUGCUUUGCACGCAGGAGGCCGUCGGUUCGAUCCCGUCAUCCUCCACCA
rnacentral:tRNA from 1 species